rnacentral:lncRNA from 1 species
CUGUACGUAUGGAGUAUAUUGGAGAAAUUACUAUGAACUCUAAAUCUUAUUUUUCUGAAUUUCUGGAUGCAUUUAAUUGGCCUGACUCACUUUUCCAAUUCCCAGCUAUGAAUUAUGAAGAAGAAUUGUUACCUGGAAUACUGUCAUCUUUUACAUAAUUCAAAAUGGAGUAAAAUUUUAUAUUUAUGUAUUUUCUGUAUUAUUUUCAUAUUCUGGAAAUAGAAAAUAUCAUGAUCAUCAGGUCUCAUGUUUAUUUUAUGGUAAUUGUUGAUGGUUUCUUUUAUGACAUAAAUGUUGGUGUGUCUUGCCUAACAAAAAAAAAAAAAAUGUUGGGGUUUGUGUCUUAUGUUUUUCUUUUUGGUUUUCCUAAUAAAACUUGGAUAGUUUUGAAACUCUAGACCUUGGUAGGAGUUUAGAGUGGAUCACCUAGGGUGGGUAUUCCUAAAAAAAAAUAAUCCCAAGAUAGUCGACUCAGUUGAACUCAAUGAACUGCUUGAAUUUGGCCACUUGGGACCUCUUUCACCACUCAGUUCUAUUUGUGGUUAUAACCAUUGUUAAAUUAUAGGUUUUCAUAUCUUCUUAGGAUCUCAGCCUACUUUCAUUUAUCUUUCUCUCAUCUAUUCAAUGCCUUCAACAUGAUUGAACCAUUACUGCCUGUUGGUGGAGACACUGCUCGUCAUUGCUCAUGGCCAAGCAAUCUUCGAUGAUUUUCACUUACCAAACCUCUAGUACGGAAGCAAACUCUGAGCUUCACAAAGAAAUGAUCAUUUAUUUUGAACAUGUGAAGUUUCAGAUAUUCCAAAGAAAGAGCAGAAAUGGAUGAGGAGGGAUUCGGACCCCGGACACUGUGGUUUGUAGCCAUGUGCUCUAAUCCUCUGAGCUACAGGCCCCACCCCAUCUCCACUAUCUCUGCAUAAUUUUGUUGUUGGAAGAUGGGAAACCCCUAAACUUAGAACAGAAAGUGAGUUUAGUAAAUCCAGAAGUAAACAUUUGUAGGUGCUAUCUGCCUGCCUAGUAUAAAGUUCUUCACUCUCAAAUUAAAUUCUUAUUUCCAUCAUGCACAUCCUUUGAGUUCAGCAUGAGAAAGAAAUGUGACCUGCAACUCUAACCAUUUCAUAUUUGCUAAACAAAAAUCUUGAUGGCCCUGAACUAGUAGUAAUAGUUGUAUGGUUACCUUGGAUUCAUUAAUUUUCAGUUAUAUACUUUUUGUUAAAUAUCUUUCCUUUAUUAAUUGAUAACCUAGCAAGAUGAUUAUUACCCUUCAUAUGCUCUUACUUUUAUGUUUUUGAUUAAUUAAUACAUGUCAGAUGUGUUCACUAUGCACUAUAUUGCAAGGAAAUGGCAUAACUGGUGAGAUGCCAAAAGAGUUGGGAAAUUUGUCAAAUCUAACAAACUUAGAUUUGGGAAAUAACAGAUUAAUGGGUGAAAUACCAUCUACCCUUGGAUCUUAAGAAGCUACAGUAUUUGUCAGUAACACCAUCUUCAUUGUGUUAAAUAUAUAUCUCUGCAUAGUUUUGUUGUUGGAAGACGGGAAACCCCUAAACAUAGAACAGAAAGUGAGUUUAGUAUAUCCAGAAGUAAACAUUUGUUGGUGCUAGCUGCUUGCCGAGGAUAAAGUUCUUCACUCUCAUAUUAAAUUCUUAUUUCCAUCGUGUACAUCCUUUGAGUUCAGCAUGAGAAAGAAAUGUGACCUGCAGCCCUAACUAUUUCAUAUUUGCUAAACAAAAAUCUCAAUGGCCCUGAACUAGUAGUAAUAGUUGUAUGGUUACCUUGGAUUCAUUAAUUUUCAGUUUUAUACUUUUUUGUUAAAUAUCCUUCCUUUAUUAAUCAAUAACCUAGCAAGAUGAUUAUUACCCUUCUUGUGCUCUUCUAUGUUUUUGAUUAAUUAAUACAUGUCAGAUGUGUUCACUAUGCAGUACAUUGGAAGGAAAUGGCAUAACUGGUGAGAUACCAGAAGAGUUGGGAAAUUUGUCAAAUCUGAC